GACGAACGCUGGCGGCGUGCUUAAAACAUGCAAGUCGAACGGACUUCUCAUGAAGCUUGCGAUUGAGAAGUUAGUGGCGGACGGGUGAGUAACGCGUGGGCAACCUGCCCCUGAGCCCGGGAUAACAGUUCGAAAGGACUGCUAAGACCGGAUAUACUUGCGGGGAAGCAUUUCUCUGUAAGGAAAGGGAACGCUCAGGGAUGGGCCCGCGUCCCAUUAGCUAGUUGGUGAGGUAACGGCCCACCAAGGCGACGAUGGGUAGCCGGCCUGAGAGGGUGAACGGCCACACUGGGACUGAGACACGGCCCAGACUCCUACGGGAGGCAGCAGUUGGGAAUCUUCGGCAAUGGGCGCAAGCCUGACCGAGCAACGCCGCGUGAGUGAUGAAGGUUUUCGGAUUGUAAAGCUCUGUCUUCCGGGACGAUAAUGACGGUACCGGAGGAGGAAGCCACGGCUAACUACGUG
rnacentral:rRNA from 1 species